rnacentral:piRNA from 1 species
UAAAUGAACUGGGUAUACCUGAAAGG